rnacentral:sRNA from 1 species
GGGACUAGAUUUAUAAUAUAAACAGUGUAAAGUGACUAAUUUAAUAAACACUAUAUGGGACCAGGACUAAGAAAUUUGAUAAUGGGACUGGCGAAAUAUUUAGUCCCAGUCCCAUGCAUGGUCACACGGCCAGUCUAGCAAUGACAGAAUCAAAUCUGUCAGAGAGAUGAAAAAAGCUUAAAGAGAAGUCAAAUUUCAAAAACCCCACUCAAAGCUUUAACAACAGAAAUAAUGCUGAUAAUAGAUCACAAAACAAACACAGAUGAAAUGACACUACAAAGUCUGAUGACUCCACCCAAUCAAAAUAUUGCUGUUAUUGCAAGCAACCAGGACAUAUCAUCAAUUCAUGUUUCAAACAACUCAAAGAUGAAUCCAAAAACACCA